rnacentral:rRNA from 1 species
AACGAACGCUGGCGGCAGGCCUAACACAUGCAAGUCGAGCGCGCCCUUCGGGGUGAGCGGCGGACGGGUGAGUAACGCGUGGGAACGUGCCCUUUUCUACGGAAUAGCCUCGGGAAACUGAGAGUAAUACCGUAUACGCCCUUUGGGGGAAAGAUUUAUCGGACAAGGAUCGGCCCGCGUUGGAUUAGGUAGUUGGUGGGGUAAUGGCCUACCAAGCCGACGAUCCAUAGCUGGUGUGAGAGGAUGAUCAGCCACACUGGGACUGGGACACAGCCCAGACUCCUACGGGAGGCAGCAGUGGGGAAUCUUAGACAAUGGGGGCAAGCAUGAACUAGCCAUGCCGCGUGAGUGAUGAAGGCCUUAGGGUUGUAAAGCUCUUUCAGCUGGGAAGAUAAUGACGGUACCAUCAGAAGAAGCCCCGGCUAACUCCGUG